AACAAUACUCAACUAUCGACAAAUAUUGUUGUUAUCCCUUAUAUACUAAAUCGCAAGUCGCCUAACGAAUCAAAAUCUGCCACGUAAUUAAUAUUUAUUUUUUUUAAAAAAUAAAUCAAUCAAAACUAGAAAACGCCUAGAACAAAUAUAAUAACUACCUACUAUUUUUCUUCUUCAUCCACGAUCUCUUAUUUUCCUAUUUUCGUUCCAUUUAAAAACCCUAAUUCAAAAUUGGCAUAAAUCAUUUACUUUAAAAUCCCAAGUUUUUCUCAUCCAAAACCAAUUGAUUUCACGAUCUCUAAAACCGUUCCGGCUCCUUCUAUUAUAAAACUCACCAUGAACUUCAUCUUUCCUACCUUCUCUUACGUAACUUUUUCUUCUAUUCAUGGAUUCUAGGAAACAUAUCAAAACUUAUACUUAAGUUUCCGUUCUAUAAGAAUCUAAGGAGAAAAGCUUGAACGUUUUCAGAUAUUCAACUUAUAAUGUUCAGGUGUGGUUUGUCAUAUUAGGAGGAUUCCAUCAGGAAGAUUUGAGGAGCAAUAGAGGUAUAAGAUACGUCAGCAUGUAUAUCUUCUUACAAUUUUUAAUGCCAUUUUGGAUCUUGCUAUAUGUUUUGGUUUUUACUUAAUCAUCCCGAGUCAUUAUUAACUAUAAUGUGCAUGUUGUGGUUGAGAUAGAUUUUGUCUCUGUUCUGCAACUAUAUGUGUUCCUAUGGUUCAUCUUCACUAAAGCUGGAAAGAUAAUAUACAGUGAGAAUUGUAAUGUUUCAAAGACCAUAACGUUCAAAAGAGGGAUAUUUAUCAGGGAGAAUUUUUGUCAUACUUAGAACAUUUCUAACAUAUUUUCAGGCACUAUGUUGGCAGUUGAGCUCUUAAAGAAUCAUGUCAUUCUUCUAACAUGGAGCUGCAAACAACCUUUGAAUGGAGUCCCUAAUUCCCUAGAUCAGAUUUCUUGUCAAUGGAGAUUUUUAAUGAAGCACUAGAUUGAAUUACUGGAAACAGAAAGGAAAAGACAUAAAUUGCUCAUAAACAUGUUAGGAAUUAGAGAAAAUACAAGAAAAUCCUAAGAGCAAGAAAAAAUGUAGUUAAGAAAGCUUCAAAUUAGUAUUUGCCUUGGACAAAGUAAUUUAUAUUAGUACUGAACUUAAAACGAUCGAAAGUAAUAUUUAUGUUUAUUUUUAUUUUGUUCUGCUACGUUUUAUAUAUGUAAAUGAUGUGUGUAAUAUAUAGUUUUUUAACAGUUUAUAUAUUUAACUAAUCAGUUUUUUUGCAAGAAAAAUUAUUUCCGUGCGUAGCACGGGGCCUACACUAGUAUUAAUUUAUAAACCACAAAGUCAAAUGUACAAUAUUUCUCUAAAAAAAUGUAAAUAUUCCAAAAAUAACAGUUUUCAUGAAAAUUAUAUAAAAAUACCACAAAACUAUGAAAUAAUAUUCAACUAUCCACAAAUAUUCUUGUUAUCCAAAUUUCUAAAUCAUAAACUCAAAUCUACAAUAUUUCUCUAUAAAAUGAAAAGUUCCCAAAAAUAAGAGUUUUUAAAAAUUAUUAUUUAAAAAUGCAACAUGUUGAUGAAAAAUUCUCAAUGAAUACUCAUAUACCCACAAAUAUUCUUAUUAUCCUAAUUUCUAAAUCACAAACGUGAAUCUACAAUAUUUGUCUAAAAAUGAAAACUUUCCAGAAUAGAAAUUUUUAAGAAAAUUAUUUCAAAAUAUAACAUAUUGAUGAAACAUUCUGAAAGAAUAAUCACCUAUCCAUAAAAAAUCUUUUUAUCCUAAUUUCUAAAUCGAAAACCCAAAUCUACAAUAUUUCUCCAAAAAGGAAAACUUUACAAAAAUCACAAUUUUUAAGAAAAAUAUUUAAAA